rnacentral:rRNA from 1 species
GAUGAACGCUGGCGGCGUGCCUAAUACAUGCAAGUCGAGCGAACAGAUAAGGAGCUUGCUCCUUUGACGUUAGCGGCGGACAGGUGAGUAACACGUGGGUAACCUACCUAUAAGACUGGGAUAACUUCGGGAAACCGGAGCUAAUACCGGAUAACAUUUGGAACCGCAUGGUUCUAAAGUGAAAGAUGGUUUUGCUAUCACUUAUAGAUGGACCCGCGCCGUAUUAGCUAGUUGGUAAGGUAACGGCUUACCAAGGCAACGAUACGUAGCCGACCUGAGAGGGUGAUCGGCCACACUGGAACUGAGACACGGCCGAGACUCCGACGGGAGGCAGCAGUAGGGAAUCUUCCGCAAUGGGCGAAAGCCGGACGGAGCAACGCCGCGUGAGUGAUGAAGGGUUUCGGCUCGUAAAACUCUGUUAGUAGGGAAGAACAAACGUGUAAGUAACUGUGCACGUCUUGACGGUACCUAAUCAGAAAGCCACGGCUAACUACGUG